rnacentral:rRNA from 1 species
GCAAGUCGAGCGCUCUCUUCGGAGGGAGCGGCGGACGGGUUAGUAACGCGUGGGAACAUACCCUUCUCUAAGGAAUAGCCACUGGAAACGGUGAGUAAUACCUUAUACGCCCUUCGGGGGAAAGAUUUAUCGGAGAAGGAUUGGCCCGCGUUAGAUUAGAUAGUUGGUGGGGUAAUGGCCUACCAUGGCUACGAUGUCUAGCUGGUCUGAGAGGAUGAUC